rnacentral:rRNA from 1 species
GCGCGAAAACUUUACAAUGCUGGCAACAGCGAUAAGGGAACCUCGAGUGCCAGGUUACAAAUCUGGCUGUCGAGAUGCCUAAAAAGCAUUUCAUAGCAAGGGCCGGCCAAGACCGGUUCCAGCCGCCGCGGUAACACCGGCGGCUCGAGUGGUAACCGUUAUUAUUGGGUCUAAAGGUUCUGUAGCCGGCCGGAUAAGUCUCUUGAGACAUCUGUCAGCUUAACUGUCCGGCUUUCAGGAGAUACUGUCUGGCGGGAGGCCGGGAGAGGUGAGAGGUACUUCAGGGGUAGGGGUGAAAUCUUGUAAUCCUUGAAGGACCACCAGUGGCGAAGGCGUCUCACCAGAACGGACCUGACGGCAAGGGACGAAAGCUAGGGUCACGAACC